ensembl:snRNA U1 U1 spliceosomal RNA
ACACCUUUGUCCUGGAAGGAGUGCUCCUCUACCAACGUGUACAACUCAGGCUCAGCCAUUGCACUCCGGCUGUGCUGACCCCUGCGAAUUUCUCAAAUGUGGAAAUCUCGAUUGCAUAAUUUCUGGUAGUGGGGGACUGCGUUCGCGCUCUCCCCUG